GUGGGGAAUAUUGGACAAUGGGCGAAAGCCUGAUCCAGCCAUGCCGCGUGUGUGAAGAAGGUCUUCGGAUUGUAAAGCACUUUAAGUUGGGAGGAAGGGCAGUAAGUUAAUACCUUGCUGUUUUGACGUUACCGACAGAAUAAGCACCGGCUAACUUCGUGCCAGCAGCCGCGGUAAUACGAAGGGUGCAAGCGUUAAUCGGAAUUACUGGGCGUAAAGCGCGCGUAGGUGGUUCAGCAAGUUGGAGGUGAAAUCCCCGGGCUCAACCUGGGAACUGCCUCCAAAACUACUGAGCUAGAGUACGGUAGAGGGUAGUGGAAUUUCCUGUGUAGCGGUGAAAUGCGUAGAUAUAGGUAGGAACACCAGUGGCGAAGGCGACUACCUGGACUGAUACUGACACUGAGGUGCGAAAGCGUGGGGAGCAAACAGGAUUAGAAACCCGUGUAGUCC
rnacentral:rRNA from 1 species